rnacentral:rRNA from 1 species
CCAGAGAACUUAGCAGAGAUGCUUUGGUGCCUUCGGGAACUCUGAGACAGGUGCUGCAUGACUGUCGUCAGCUCGUGUUGUGAAAUGUUGGGUUAAGUCCCGCAAGAGCGCAACCCUUAUCCUUUGUUGCCAGCGGCUCGGCCGGGAACUCAAAGGAGACUGCCGGUGAUAAACCGGAGGAAGGUGGGGAUGACGUCAAGUCAUCAUGGCCCUUACGGCCAGGGCUACACACGUGCUACAAUGGCGCAUACAAGAGAAGCGACCUCGCGAGAGCAAGCGGACCUCAUAAAAGUGCGUCGUAGUCCGGAUUGGAGUCUGCAACUCGACUCCAUGAAGUCGGAAUCGCUAAUAAUCGUAGAUCAGAAUGCUACGGUGAAUACGUUCCCGGGCCUUGUACACACCGCCCGUCACACCAUGGGAGUGGGUUGCAAAAGAAGUAGGUAGCUUAACCUUCGGGAGGGCGCUUACCACUUUGUGAUUCAUGACUGGGGUGAAGUCGUAACAAGGUAGGCGUAGCGAG